ACUCCUAGGCUCAAGUGAUCUUCCCACUUUGGGCUCCCAAAGUGCUGGGAUUAUAGGCAUGAGCCACCAUGCCCGGGCAGGAAAAUGAUUUAUAGGAUGCUGGGAACACCCUCACUUAAACAUGGCCCCCAAGGUGGUGGUGGGGUGCUCUCCUGGCAUAUGAGCCUUCUCUCACAGUGGACACACCUUGUUAACAGGCCAUGAUGAAGACUCCCCUAGAGGAACCAGGCUGUUCAGCCCCCUCUUCCUGAGAGCAUCUGGAAUCUGCAUACUAGAAAAAUCGGGUUCUGAUGAGUAGGUCCCAUUUGAAACUGUGGAGCAUGCAGAGUGGGUAAGAAAGGCACCUUUUCCUGCCAAAGAAAGUAACUGACUUGGUGCCCUUUUCUGUUUUAGGCAAGUGAGGAUGCUGAGGUCGAUGAAGAUGUGGACAUCCAGGCCUUCAGGAAAUUUUGAAAGGCCCCUACCCUACAUUGGCUUAUCUUCCCAGAAACAUCCUAGGGUCCCUCGAAAAGCAGUGUAUGGCAGGGAGAAGGGUGCUGAAGUUAAAAUCAAGUUCUCUGUUGGAGUCACCAUCCCACAGGUGACCAAUAGCGGAACCUUGAGAACAUCCAUUCUGCUCUUGAUCAGCGUUGGCAAUGUCGUACUUCGUAGGUGAUUGAGAAUGAGUUGAUCUACUGGACGCUGCUGGUUGGGCAGAGGGAAGGUGAGCAGCGAGAAGGAUUCACGACAGGAAGUCCCAAGGAGGACUUGGAGACCAUUCAGCGGUGGCAGUCAGAGGACGUGUAGACUCAAUGAUGAAAACGAAUACAGGAUUUGCCCUCUUCUCGGAGGCAGUGGGGAGCUGGAAACUGCCUCUGCAGCCUGGGCUGGGCCACGCCGGGUGGGGCAGGACUCUCUUUGGAAUAUGAUUUCUAUUUCUCUCAUCGCUCCCUGCUAAGAACUCAAAUGAUCAAAAUUC